rnacentral:rRNA from 1 species
CAGUCGCCGCGGGAAUACAGAGGGUGCGAGCGUUAAUCGGAAUUACUGGGCGUAAAGCGCACGCAGGCGGUCUGUUAAGUCAGAUGUGAAAUCCCCGGGCUCAACCCGGGAACUGCAUUUGAAACUGGCAGGCUUGAGUCUUGUAGAGGGGGGUAGAAUUCCAGGUGUAGCGGUGAAAUGCGUAGAGAUCUGGAGGAAUACCGGUGGCGAAGGCGGCCCCCUGGACAAAGACUGACGCUCAGGUGCGAAAGCGUGGGGAGCAAACAGGAUUAGAUACCCCGGUAGUCCCUGUCUCUUAUAC